GACGAACGCUGGCGGCGUGCUUAACACAUGCAAGUCGAACGGAAAGGCCCGGCUCUUGUGGGUUGCUCGUUUGGCGAACGGGUGAGUAUCACGUGAGUAUCCUGCCCCUGACUGUCGGAUAACUUCUGGAAACUGGGGCGAUUACCGGAUAUGAUCUUCUGCUGCAUGGGGUGGAUUGGAAAAUUUCGGCGGUAGGGUAUGGAUUGGCGGCUUAUGCGCUUGUUGGUGGGGUAGUGGCAUACCAAGGCUUCGACGGCUAGGCUACCUGGGAGGGUGACCGGCGUCCAUGGGCCUGAGGGACGGAGCAGUAUGGAACCGGACGCAGCGGGCGAGAGCAUUACGGAGCGGCCGGAAGCCUGAUGCAGCAGCGCCGGGUGCGGAAAGACGGGCUACGGGUUGUGAACCGCUUUCGCAUGUGACGAAGAGUGAGUGACGGUAAUGGGUAAAGAAGCACCGGCUAACUACGUG
rnacentral:rRNA from 1 species